rnacentral:rRNA from 1 species
UACGGAGGUCCAAAGCGUUGUUCGGAUUCACUGGGCGUAAAGGGUGCGUAGGUGGUUGGGUAAGUUUGAUGUGAAAUCUCCGGGCUUAACCCGGAAAUGGCAUUGAAUACUAUUCGACUGGAGGGUUGGAGGGGGGACUGGAAUUCUCGGUGUAGCAGUGAAAUGCGUAGAUAUCGAGAGGAACACCAGUGGCGAAGGCGAGUCCCUGGACAACUCCUGACACUGAGGCACGAAAGCUAGGGGAGCAAACGGG